AUUGAACGCUGGCGGCAGGCCUAACACAUGCAAGUCGAACGGUAACAGAAAGCAGCUUGCUGCUUUGCUGACGAGUGGCGGACGGGUGAGUAAUGUCUGGGAAACUGCCUGAUGGAGGGGGAUAACUACUGGAAACGGUAGCUAAUACCGCAUAACGUCGCAAGACCAAAGAGGGGGACCUUCGGGCCUCUUGCCAUCGGAUGUGCCCAGAUGGGAUUAGCUAGUAGGUGGGGUAACGGCUCACCUAGGCGACGAUCCCUAGCUGGUCUGAGAGGAUGACCAGCCACACUGGAACUGAGGCACGGUCCAGACUCCUACGGGAGGCAGCAGUGGGGAAUAUUGCACAAUGGGCGCAAGCCUGAUGCAGCCAUGCCGCGUGUAUGAAGAAGGCCUUCGGGUUGUAAAGUACUUUCAGCGGGGAGGAAGGGAGUAAAGUUAAUACCUUUGCUCAUUGACGUUACCCGCAGAAGAAGCACCGGCUAACUCCGUG
rnacentral:rRNA from 1 species